GAUGAACGCUGGCGGCAUGCCUAACACAUGCAAGUCGGACGAGCAGUGGUGUUUCCAGUGGCGGAGGGGUGAGUAACGCGUAAGAACGUGCCCUUGGGAGGGGAAAAAUAGCUGAAAACGGCUGCUAAUACAAAGUAGGCCGAGGAGCAAAAGAUGCUCUCCGCCUGAGGGGGGGCUCGCGUAUGAUUAUCUUGCUGGAGAGGGAAUAGCUUACCAAGGCGAGGUUGCGUAGUUGGUACGAGAGGGUGAUCAUCCACAAUGAGACUGAGACACGGACCAGACACUUACGGGAGGCGGCAGAGAGGAAUAUUCCGCAAUGCGCGAAAACCGAUCAGAGCAAUGCGACGGGGAAGUAGAGUGCCUACGGGACGUGAAAUGCUUUUCCCGGAGAGCAAACAAUGACGGUAUCUGGUGAAUAAGCAACGGCUAACUCUGUG
rnacentral:rRNA from 1 species